CCUACGGGAGGCAGCAGUGGGGAAUCUUGCGCAAUGGGGGAAACCUUGACGCAGCAACGCCGCGUGGGUGAUGAAGGCCUUCGGGUCGUAAAGCCCUGUCAGGUGGGAAGAAAGAUGUCGGUGCUAAUAUCACCGAUGUUUGACGGUACCGCCGGAGGAAGCACCGGCUAACUCCGUGCCAGCAGCCGCGGUAAUACGGAGGGUGCAAGCGUUGUUCGGAAUUACUGGGCGUAAAGCGCGUGUAGGCGGUCGGGCAAGUCAGAUGUGAAAGCCUUCCGCUUAACGGAAGAAGUGCAUUUGAAACUACCCGGCUGGAGUACGGGAGAGGAGAGUGGAAUUCCCGGUGUAGAGGUGAAAUUCGUAGAUAUCGGGAGGAACACCAGUGGCGAAGGCGGCUCUCUGGUCCGAUACUGACGCUGAGACGCGAAAGCGUGGGGAGCAAACAGGAUUAGAUACCCUGGUAGUCCACGCCGUAAACUAUGGACACUAGGUGUAGGGGGUAUCGACCCCUCCUGUGCCGUAGCUAACGCGAUAAGUGUCCCGCCUGGGGAGUACGGCCGCAAGGCUAAAACUCAAAGGAAUUGACGG
rnacentral:rRNA from 1 species